UACGAAGGGGGCUAGCGUUGUUCGGAAUUACUGGGCGUAAAGCGCACGUAGGCGGCGUGUUAAGUCAGGGGUGAAAUCCCGAGGCUCAACCUCGGAACUGCCUUUGAUACUGGAGAUCUUGAGUUCGGAAGAGGUUGGUGGAACAGCUAGUGUAGAGGUGAAAUUCGUAGAUAUUAGCUAGAACACCAGUGGCGAAGGCGGCCAACUGGUCCGAUACUGACGCUGAGGUGCGAAAGCGUGGGGAGCAAACAGG
rnacentral:rRNA from 1 species